GACGAACGCUGGCGGCGUGCUUAACACAUGCAAGUCGAACGGAAAGGCCCUGCUUGCAGGGUGCUCGAGUGGCGAACGGGUGAGUAACACGUGGGUGAUCUGCCCCUUACUUUGGGAUAAGCCUGGGAAACUGGGUCUAAUACUGGAUAGGACCAUGCUGUAGGUGGUGUGGUGGAAAGAUUAGUUUCGGUAAGGGAUGAGUUCGCGGCCUAUCAGCUUGUUGGUGGGGUAAUGGCCUACCAAGGCGUCGACGGGUAGCCGGCCUGAGAGGGUGGACGGCAACAUUGGGACUGAGAUACGGCCCAGACUCCUACGGGAGGCAGCAGUGGGGAAUAUUGCACAAUGGGCGCAAGCCUGAUGCAGCGACGCCGCGUGGGGGAUGACGGCCUUCGGGUUGUAAACUCCUUUCAGCCAUGACGAAGCCCUUGUGGUGACGGUAGUGGUAGAAGAAGCACCGGCUAACUACGUG
rnacentral:rRNA from 1 species